GACGAACGCUGGCGGCGUGCUUAACACAUGCAAGUCGAACGGAAAGGCCCUGCUUUUGUGGGGUUCUCGAGUGGCGAACGGGUGAGUAACACGUGAGUAACCUGCCCUUGUCUUUGGGAUAACUUCAGGAAACUGGGGCUAAUACCGGAUAGGAGCUCCUGCUGCAUGUGGGGGGUUGGAAAGUUUCGGCGUUUGGGGAUGGAGUCGCGGCUUAUCCGCUUGUUGGUGGGGUAGUGGCUUACCAAGGAUUGGACGGGUGGCCGGCCUGGGAGGGUGACAGGCACCAUGGGGCUGGGGAAAGGACCCGGAUGCAACCGGGAGCAAGAGGUGGGAAUAUUACACAACUGGGCGGAGGCAGAGUGCAGCAACGCCGGUUGCGAAAUGCCGGCUUUCGGGUAGAAACCAGUUUCUGCCUAUGAAAAGCGUGAGUGACGGUAAUGGGUAAAGAAGCACCGGCUAACUACGUG
rnacentral:rRNA from 1 species